UAGGGAAUCUUCGGCAAUGGACGGAAGUCUGACCGAGCAACGCCGCGUGAGUGAAGAAGGUUUUCGGAUCGUAAAGCUCUGUUGUUAGAGAAGAACGUUGGUAGGAGUGGAAAAUCUACCAAGUGACGGUAACUAACCAGAAAGGGACGGCUAACUACGUGCCAGCAGCCGCGGUAAUACGUAGGUCCCGAGCGUUGUCCGGAUUUAUUGGGCGUAAAGCGAGCGCAGGCGGUUCUUUAAGUCUGAAGUUAAAGGCAGUGGCUUAACCAUUGUACGCUUUGGAAACUGGAGGACUUGAGUGCAGGAGGGGAGGGUGGAAUUCCAUGUGUAGCGGUGAAAUGCGUAGAUAUAUGGAGGAACACCGGUGGCGAAAGCGGCUCUCUGGUCUGUAACUGACGCUGAGGCUCGAAAGCGUGGGGAGCAAACAGG
rnacentral:rRNA from 1 species